rnacentral:rRNA from 1 species
GACAGAGGGUGCAAACGUUGCUCGGAAUCACUGGGCAUAAAGCGCACGUAGGCGGUUUGCUAAGUCGGAUGUGAAAUCCCUGAGCUCAACUCAGGAAGUGCAUCCGAUACUGGCUAACUCGAGGACGGUUGGGGUGAGUGGAACUCCAGGUGGAGCGGUGAAAUGCAUAGAUAUCUGGAGGAACACCGGUGGCGAAAGCGGCUCACUGGACCGUAACUGACGCUGAGGUGCGAAAGCUAGGGUAGCAAACGGG